GAUAAAGUGUUGGAUGUUUAAAAAGUAGCAGAAGAUAGACUCUGUGACAGGAAGUUGAGGUGUCAGGCCACUGAGCGAUAUGCUGUUUGCACACACUUGUCUUUAAAGAAUGGAACCACCAGAUAAUGAGCAAGAGGACACAGCUGUCACUGGGAUGAUGAAGUAACUCCAAGGAAGUUCAACUUUGUCUGUGGUAAGAUGCGAUCGUUUGAAGAGAGGAAUGGGAUUUCCUACAAAAUCCGUCCGGAUGCAAACAAGUUUGGCCAUAUUCUGGAGACAGAAACUGAAGUUCAUCUCUAUUAAGGGUUCAUUGGAUGUUGACCAGCCUCCACAUGAAGUUGCAGGUGAAUAUCAGGAUGCGGAGUGAGGUACAGAAGGAUCAGAAACCUCAGUUCCACUUUCCCUAGAUGAGUGAGGCGUAGUGCUGCUGCAGGCUGUGGAUAUCCCAGGACACCGUGACUGAACAGUGCCAUCUGCCACGGAAAAUUAUGCAACCUUCAUUCAGGAUCCCCUAGAUCAUUAAGUGGGGGUCCAUGGCCUAGUGGUACUAUCAAUAUACUCUUAAUCCAGAAACUCAGCUACUGUUCUUGGGACCUGGGUUCAAAUCCCAUGAUGGCAGGAAGCGGAAUUUGAAUUCAAUAAAAGAAUCGGGAAUUAAGAGUC